UACGGAAGGCAGCAGUGGGGAAUAUUGCACAAUGGGCGAAAGCCUGAUGCAGCUAUGCCGCGUGUAUGAAGAAGGCCUUAGGGUUGUAAAGUACUUUUCAUCGGGGAGGAAAAACAAAACUAAUAAUUUUAUUUCUUGACGUUACCCGAAAAAGAAGCACCGGCUAACUCCGUGCCAGCAGCCGCGGUAAUACGGAGGGUGCUAGCGUUAAUCAGAAUUACUGGGCGUAAAGAGCACGUAGGUGGUUUUUUUAAGUCAGAUGUGAAAUCCCUGGGCUUAACCUGGAACUGCAUUUUGAAACUGAAAUACUAGAGUAUCGUAGAGGGAGGUAGAAUUCUAGGUGUAGCGGUGAAAUGCGUAGAUAUCUGGAGGAAUACCUGUGGCGAAAGCGGCCUCCUAAACGAAUACUGACACUGAGGUGCGAAAGCUGGGGAGCAAACAGGGAUUAGAUACC
rnacentral:rRNA from 1 species